ensembl:lncRNA
GUAUCUACUAGAUAGAUGUAAGAAUAAUGUGUGAAUCAUAAGGACAUAAGAUUGAAAUGAAAGUCUGUCAAAAGAAGGGGAGUAAGACACUGUGUAAUUUGUCUUGCACAGAUGAAUUCCAUCCUUCUGGUAUCUGAAGAUAUUUAAAAACUGGAGAAAAUAAAAGAAUUCCCUCUACCAUUCUCUGGAAGAAUUUGAAGCAGAUGAAUAAACAGAAUAAAGGAAUGGAUGAGUAUGUCUUGGUGAAACACUAUCAAGACUUUGGUCAAAAUUAGGCUGAACAUUCACUGUGUGCAUUUGAAAAUUCUUGUUGAGUAGAAAUGAAUCAAUGAACACCAAGUGAUGGCACUUGAGAAAGCCCUUGAGGAAGGAAUGGUCAAGAAUUAACCAAAGAGUGAAAACUGAAACUGCUGGAAAGACAGAUCACAGAAUCAUCAAGAACCAGCCUGGAUGGUGGUUUGGGCUGACACCUGCUUUCAAAGACCCUCUGAGAAAGAGGCUGAAGGAACGUGCAUGGAAGGUGGCACGAGGAAGGGAGACCCACGGGGUGUCAGAGGCAGGCAGCAGCCAUGGCCGGACAUGAACCUGGUCAGAGCGUGGCCUCGCGGGCACCGGGAAGGUGUCAGCAGACAGUGCAUGUCCAGGUGAUUAGUGUCUACCAGCCUGUUUUGAAUAGUGGCAGUAGGAUACACGGUUUAGAAGAAGAUGUGGUGUUUGAUACUUGUAUGAGAAAUUUCCAGAGGAACUGUGAAUGGUUGAGAAGCUGGACAAAUCUCUGCAUAAUGCAUAAUCUGUGUCAGGUAUAGU